rnacentral:rRNA from 1 species
AUUGAACGCUGGCGGCAUGCCUUACACAUGCAAGUCGAACGGUAACGCGGGGCAACCUGGCGACGAGUGGCGAACGGGUGAGUAAUGUAUCGGAACGUGCCCAGUUGUGGGGGAUAACUGCUCGAACGAGCAGCUAAUACCGCAUACGACCUGAGGGUGAAAGCGGGGGAUCGCAAGACCUCGCGCAAUUGGAGCGGCCGAUAUCAGAUUAGUUAGCUGGUGGGGUAAAGGCUCACCAAGCCGACGAUCUGUAGCUGGUCUGAGAGGACGACCAGCCACACUGGGACGGAGACACGGCCCAGACUCCUACGGGAGGCAGCAGUGGGGAAUUUUGGACAAUGGACGCAAGUCUGAUCCAGCCAUGCCGCGUGCGGGAAGAAGGCCUUCGGGUUGUAAACCGCUUUUGUCAGGGAAGAAACGCUCUGGGUUAAUACCUCGGGGUAAUGACGGUACCUGAAGAAUAAGCACCGGCUAACUACGUGCCAGCCGCCGCUGUAAGAC